rnacentral:rRNA from 1 species
AGACGUAGGAUCCGAGCGUUGUCCGGAGUUACUGGGCGUAAAGCGCGCGCAGGCGGAUACGCGCAUCGGCGGUGAAAGCCCCCCGCUCAACGGGGGAGGGUCCGUCGAGAUGGCGUGUCUGGAGGCAGGGAGAGGCCAGUGGAAUUCCGGGUGUAGUGGUGAAAUGCGUAGAGAUCCGGAGGAACACCAGUGGCGAAGGCGGCUGGCUGGACCUGACCUGACGCUGAGGCGCGAAGGCGUGGGGAGCGAACGGGAUUAGAUACCCUAGUAGUCC